GUACAAACUCCUGGACUUCUGUCAUUGUCCUGGAGAUGAUCUCUGCCGGUGGAUUUUCCCCAUAAAAGGACAACCUAAACUGUAGCUGCCUUUGAAACUCCGCUUGCUCUUGUCCUUCUGCUGAAUCACUACGUUCAGGAACUGAACCUCCAUCUGUUUGGUAUUCCGCCAUGACUUCUGUGAUGAGAACAACUUUAGUUUUAUUGCUGGCUGGAAUACCCCUUGCUUCCAGGAGAUCUUUUAGCGUGGAGCGUUUUAGUGUAGAAUAGUCAAUCUCCAUCCGUACUCCAU